rnacentral:rRNA from 1 species
AUUGAACGCUGGCGGCAUGCCUUACACAUGCAAGUCGAACGGCAGCACGGAGCUUGCUCUGGUGGCGAGUGGCGAACGGGUGAGUAAUAUAUCGGAACGUACCCAAGAGUGGGGGAUAACGUAGCGAAAGUUACGCUAAUACCGCAUACGAUCUAAGGAUGAAAGCAGGGGACCGCAAGGCCUUGUGCUCCUGGAGCGGCCGAUAUCUGAUUAGCGAGUUGGUGAAGUAAAGGCUCACCAAGGCACCGAUCAGUAGCUGGUCUGAGAGGACGACCAGACACACUGGAACUGAGACACGGUCCAGACUCCUACGGGAGGCAGGAGUGGGGAAUUUUGGACAAUGGGGGCAACCCUGCUACAGCAAUGCCGCGUGAGCGAAGAAGGCCUUCGGGUUGUAAAGAUCUUUUGUCAGGGAAGAAACGGUGAAGGCUAAUAUCCUUUGCUAAUGACGGUACCUGAAGAAUAAGCACCGGCUAACUACGUGCCAGCCGCCGCAGUAA